AUUGAACGCUGGCGGCAGGCCUAACACAUGCAAGUCGAGCGGAUGAAGGGAGCUUGCUCCUGGAUUCAGCGGCGGACGGGUGAGUAAUGCCUAGGAAUCUGCCUGGUAGUGGGGGAUAACGUCCGGAAACGGGCGCUAAUACCGCAUACGUCCUGAGGGAGAAAGUGGGGGAUCUUCGGACCUCAGGCUAUCGGAGGAGCCUAGGUCGGAUUAGCUAGUUGGUGGGGUAAAGGCCUACCAAGGCGACGAUCCGUAACUGGUCUGAGAGGAUGAUCAGUCACACUGGAACUGAGACACGGUCCAGACUCCUACGGGAGGCAGCAGUGGGGAAUAUUGGACAAUGGGCGAAAGCCUGAUCCAGCCAUGCCGCGUGUGUGAAGAAGGUCUUCGGAUUGUAAAGCACUUUAAGUUGGGAGGAAGGGCAGUAAGUUAAUACCUUGCUGUUUUGACGUUACCAACAGAAUAAGCACCGGCUAACUUCGCG
rnacentral:rRNA from 1 species